GGAUAACAUAUCGGGGUUAUUGUUAUAGGAGCCCUGAACGACACCGACUACGCUAAUGUUGCGGAUGAAAUUUGUGCUUUAAAUACAGGAUUGGGGAACCCCACGGUUAAUGAUGAAAACUUGCAUAACAACAUUAGAUCAUCUGAUCGAGAUGUGGUGUGGGGAGUUGCAGGUCUCCACACACUCG